rnacentral:tRNA from 1 species
CUCCAAUUAGCCUAGUGGUCAAGGCUCCGGAUCGCCAAUCCGGAGAUGGCGGGUUCAAUCCCCGUUUUGGUCG